GACGAACGCUGGCGGCGUGCUUAACACAUGCAAGUCGAACGGAAAGGCCCUGCUUUUGUGGGGUGCUCGAGUGGCGAACGGGUGAGUAACACGUGAGUAACCUGCCCUUGACUUUGGGAUAACUUCAGGAAACUGGGGCUAAUACCGGAUAGGAGCUCCUGCUGCAUGGUGGGGGUUGGAAAGUUUCGGCGGUUGGGGAUGGACUCGCGGCUUAUCAGCUUGUUGGUGGGGUAGUGGCUUACCAAGGCUUUGACGGGUAGCCGGCCUGAGAGGGUGACCGGCCACAUAGGGACUGAGAUACGGCCCAGACUCCUACGGGAGGCAGCAGGGGGGAAUAUUGCACAAUGGGCGGAAGCCUGAUUCAGCAACGCCGCGUGCGGGAUGACGGCCUUCGGGUUGUAAACCGCUUUCGCCUGUGACGAAGCGUGAGUGACGGUAAUGGGUAAAGAAGCACCGGCUAACUACGUG
rnacentral:rRNA from 1 species